CAGGUGCCUUGCCCAGCGAUGGUCCGGGUCAAACGGGAACGGGGUAGGCCGGCCUGGCUUGGAUGCCAGGCCGGCCGUAAUCCCCGGCUGCCCCCGCAACGGUAGGCGAGUGCGGGUGCGUCCACGGCGCUCGAACCAUCGAGCGCCAGCCACUGAACGGUUGCGUGGCGUCGUCGCCGAGACGACGCGCGCGGACCGCUUGGGAAGGCGAUGCACCAAGACUCGCGAGCCCGGAUACCGGCCUG
rfam:Methylibium petroleiphilum PM1 plasmid RPME01, complete sequence.